GUGGGGAAUUUUGGACAAUGGGCGAAAGCCUGAUCCAGCCAUGCCGCGUGUGUGAAGAAGGUCUUCGGAUUGUAAAGCACUUUAAGUUGGGAGGAAGGGCAGUAAGUUAAUACCUUGCUGUUUUGACGUUACCGACAGAAUAAGCACCGGCUAACUUCGUGCCAGCAGCCGCGGUAAUACGAAGGGUGCAAGCGUUAAUCGGAAUUACUGGGCGUAAAGCGCGCGUAGGUGGUUUUGUAAGUUGGAGGUGAAAUCCCCGGGCUCAACCUGGGAACUGCCUCCAAAACUACUGAGCUAGAGUACGGUAGAGGGUAGUGGAAUUUCCUGUGUAGCGGUGAAAUGCGUAGAUAUAGGAAGGAACACCAGUGGCGAAGGCGACUACCUGGACUGAUACUGACACUGAGGUGCGAAAGCGUGGGGAGCAAACAGGAUUAGAUACCCUUGUAGUCC
rnacentral:rRNA from 1 species